rnacentral:rRNA from 1 species
UGGGGAAUAUUGGACAAUGGAGGAAACUCUGAUCCAGCAAUUCUGUGUGUGAAGAAGGUUUUAUGACUGUAAAACACUUUUAGUAGGGAAGAAAAAAAUGACGGUACCUACAGAAGAAGCAACGGCUAAAUACGUGCCAGCAGCCGCGGUAAUACGUAUGUUGCGAGCGUUAUCCGGAAUUAUUGGGCUUAAAGGGCAUCUAGGCGGUAAGACAAGUUGAAGGUGAAAACCUGUGGCUCAACCAUAGGCUUGCCUACAAAACUGUUGAACUAGAGUACUGGAAAGGUGGGUGGAACUACACGAGUAGAGGUGAAAUUCGUAGAUAUGUGUAGGAAUGCCGAUGAUGAAGAUAACUCACUGGACAGAAACUGACGCUGAAGUGCGAAAGCUAGGGGAGCAAACAGG